rnacentral:rRNA from 1 species
GGAGCCAUCCUUGAAAUACCACCCUGAAUUUUUCUGAUGUCUAACCGCGACCAGUUAGCCUGGUCCGGGACCCUGUAUGGUGGGCAGUUUGACUGGGGCGGUCGCCUCCCAAAGUGUAACGGAGGCGCGCGAUGGUGGGCUCAGGCCGGUCGGAAACCGGCUGUUGAGUGCAAUGGCAUAAGCCCGCCUGACUGCGAGAGUGACAGCUCGAGCAGAGACGAAAGUCGGCCAUAGUGAUCCGGUGGUCCCGCGUGGAAGGGCCAUCGCUCAAC